rnacentral:rRNA from 1 species
GAUGAACGCUAGCGGCAGGCUUAAUACAUGCAAGUCGAGGGGUAGCAAGAUUGUAGCAAUACAAUUGUUGACGACCGGCAAACGGGUGCGGAACACGUACACAACCUUCCUACAAGUGGGGAAUAGCCCAGAGAAAUUUGGAUUAAUACCCCGUAACAUAGCGAUGUGGCAUCACAUUGCUAUUAUAGCUUCGGCGCUUGUUGAUGGGUGUGCGGCUGAUUAGAUAGUUGGCGGGGUAACGGCCCACCAAGUCUACGAUCAGUAGCUGAUGUGAGAGCAAGAUCAGCCACACGGGCACUGAGAAACGGGCCCGACUCCUACGGGAGGCAGCAGUAAGGAAUAUUGGACAAUGGACGCAAGUCUGAUCCAGCCAUGCCGCGUGAAGGAUUAAGGUCCUCUGGAUUGUAAACCUCUUUUAUAAGGGACGAAAAAAGGUCUUUCUAGAUCGUCUGACGGUACCUUAUGAAUAAGCACCGGCUAACUCCGUGCCAGCCGCCGCAGUAACAC